AUAUUGGGUGAGGAUGGGAUAAUCUGCAUCCUGAGGUUUAAGACAAUAUUUGCGUAAUUUCCAAAAAAUAAAUAAAUUGCGUAAUCGUUUCUAAGCCUCGGAGUGCGGAUUAUCUUUUCCUAUCACCAAUGC
rnacentral:pre_miRNA from 1 species